ACGAACGCUGGCGGUGUGCUUCACACAUGCAAGUCGAACGAGGUAGCAAUGCCUAGUGGCGGACGGGUGAGUAACGCGUGGGAAUCUGCCUUUAGAUGGGGGAUAACGGGUCGAAAGACUCGCUAAUACCGCAUAUGACGAAAGUUGAAAGGAGUAAUCCGUCUAAAGAUGAGCCCGCGUCCGAUUAGCUAGUUGGUAGAGUAAAAGCCUACCAAGGCGACGAUCGGUAGCUGGUCUGAGAGGAUGAUCAGCCACAAUGGACUGAGACACGGCCCAUACUCCUACGGGAGGCAGCAGUGGGAAUUUACGCAAUGGGCGGAAGCCUGACGUAGCGACACCGCGUGAGCGAAGAAGCCCCUUGGGGUGUAAAGCUCUGUCAGCUGGAACGAAAAAAUGACGGUACCAGCAGAGGAAGCAUCGGCUAACUACGUG
rnacentral:rRNA from 1 species